rnacentral:rRNA from 1 species
GUGCCAGCAGCCGCGGUAAUACGUAGGGUCCGAGCGUUGUCCGGAAUUACUGGGCGUAAAGAGCUCGUAGGUGGUUUGUCGCGUUGUCCGUGAAAACUCACAGCUUAACUGUGGGCGUGCGGGCGAUACGGGCAGACUAGAGUACUGCAGGGGAGACUGGAAUUCCUGGUGUAGCGGUGGAAUGCGCAGAUAUCAGGAGGAACACCGGUGGCGAAGGCGGGUCUCUGGGCAGUAACUGACGCUGAGGAGCGAAAGCGUGGGGAGCGAACAGGAUUAGAAACCCUUGUAGUCC